rnacentral:sRNA from 1 species
UACUUUCCUCGUGACAUCUGUACAUUUUGUUCUUUGUUUUGUUAUCAAAUUUUGAUUGGCUUAGCCAACAAUGAAACUUGUGUGUGCUUGUGACUAGAUGUUGUCUUAUUACUGCUUUAUAGAUCAAUGGUAUCUGUGAUACUGUAAAGGAUGUGGGAUGUUGAUAGGUAGAAUUGACCCUCUCUGUACACUGCUACUGAAGAGAGGGGGAAUUUCUAACCUUUUUCAUGAACAGAAUUUUGGAACACUACCAGCUUUUAACUAUCAAAACAAGGCAGCCAUCACUACAGUGCACAGAGUGUGCAUGCUUUCAUGGAGGGGAAAAUUGUAGAUUUUUAGAUCAUUGAUUUUACUUGCAUGAUUAUAUAUUUUUACAACCAGCUUCACCCCAGUUGUUAAUGAAGUUUUUUUUAGGUAGAUCAAUGCACACUUUGUCCUGUAUGGUGUUUGAUAAUUCUGUGCACGGAUUUUAUGGAAUAAAAUGUAAUGUUAAAGUU